UCUGGACAGUACUGACGCUGAGAUGCGAGAGCGUGGGGAGCAAACAGGAUUAGAUACCUGGUAGUCACGCUGUAAACGAUGUCGAUUUGGAGUUUGUUGCCUAGAGUGAUGGGCUCCGAAGCUAACGCGAUAAAUCGACCGCUGGGGAGUACGGCCGCAAGGUUAAAACUCAAAUGAAUUGACGGGGGCCCGCACAAGCGGUGGAGCAUGUGGUUUAAUUCGAUGCAACGCGAAGAACCUUACCUGGUCUUGACAUCCAUAGAAUUCUGCAGAGAUGUGGGAGUGCCUUCGGGAGCUAUGAGACAGGUGCUGCAUGGCUGUCGUCAGCUCGUGUUGUGAAAUGUUGGGUUAAGUCCCGCAACGAGCGCAACCCUUAUUCUUUGUUGCCAGCGAUUUGGUCGGGAACUCAAAGGAGACUGCCGUUGAUAAAGCGGAGGAAGGUGGGGACGACGUCAAGUCAUCAUGGCCCUUACGACCAGGGCUACACACGUGCUACAAUGGCGUAUACAAAGGGAAGCGGAGGUGCGAGCUGGAGCGGAUCUCAUAAAGUACGUCUAAGUUCGGAUUGGAGUCUGCAACUCGACUCCAUGAAGUCGGAAUCGCUAGUAAUCGUAGAUCAGAAUGCUACGGUGAAUACGUUCCCGGGCCUUGUACACACCGCCCGUCACACCAUGGGAGUGGGUUGCACCAGAAGUAGAUAGCUUAACCGCGAGGGGGGCGUUUACCACGGUGUGAUUCAUGACUGGGGUGAAGUCGUAACAAGGUAACCA
rnacentral:rRNA from 1 species